rnacentral:lncRNA from 10 species
GUUAAAAAUUUUUUUUGUAGAGACAGGGUCUCCCUAUGUUGCCCAGGCUGGUAUUGAACUCCUGGCCCCUAGGGAUUCUCCCAUCUAAGCUUCCCAAAGUGUCGGGAUUACAGGUGUGGCCACUGCACAGGGCCAGGACAAGGAUUCUUAAUCCCACUCCAGGAUGGGAAACCCAUGGCCGAGUGGGAAGAAACCAGCUGAGGUCACAUCACCAGAGGAGGGAGAGUGUGGCCCCUGACUCAGUCCAUCAGCUUGUGUAGCUGAGGUCUGGGCCAGGUCUAACCAGGCUCCCCACUCCUCCCAACCUGAGCCUGCCCUCUGAUCUCUGCCUGUUCCUCUGUCCCACAGGGGGCAAAGGCUACGGGUCAGAGAGCGGGGAGGAGGACUUUGCUGCCUUUCGAGCCUGGCUGCGCUGCUAUGGCAUGCCAGGCAUGAGCUCCCUGCAGGACCGGCAUGGCCGUACCAUCUGGUUCCAGGGGGAUCCUGGACCGUUGGCACCCAAAGGUAAGCUACUCCUAAUGUAAUAGGCUAAGAGAGCAGAAAGGACUUCACGCCUGCAAGGGCUACAGCACCCUUCUCCACCCUAUCCCCCUGCAACCCUGGGAGUCACCCCUGGGCAGGAUAGGACCCUCCAACUCCAACACCAGUGUCCUGCAGGGCGCAAGUCCCGCAAAAAGAAAUCCAAGGCCACACAGCUGAGUCCUGAGGACAGAGUGGAGGUAUGGCUGCCUGCUCCCGCCUCCUCCCCUGCACUCUGCAGCCCUGGCUGCCCCUCCCAGGCAGCUGCCUUACCCUAAGAGGGCGGGGGGAGUGGUGGGCCCUAACCAACCUCUGAACUGCUUUCUGAGCCCCUCAGGGACCCGUGUCUCCUCCAUCCAGGACGCUUUGCCUCCAAGCAAGGCCCCUUCCAGGACACGAAGGGCAAAGAGAGACCUUCCUAAGAGGACUGCAACCCAGCGGCCUGAGGGGACCAGCCUCCAGCAGGACCCAGAAGCUCCCACAGUGCCCAAGAAGGGGAGGAGGAAGGGGCGACAGGCAGCCUCUGGCCACUGCAGACCCCGGAAGGUCAAGGCUGACAUCCCAUCCUUGGAACCAGAGGGGACCUCAGCCUCUUAGCAGGAGGCUCUCCUUGCUUGCACUCACCCUUUCUUAUUGUCUUGCCCUGCAUCUGGGGGUCUGAAUUUUUGGGAGCAGGCAAUAUCUGAAGGUGCAAACAGGCCCUACGGCUGUUCCCUGCACAACUCUCAUGGUUUUAAUUGUACCCCAUCUUCCACAUCUUUAAAGCUCAUGUGAAAAAUGCUGCAUUUUUAAUAAACUGAUACAUUUG